UACGGAGGGUGCAAGCGUUGUUCGGAAUCACUGGGCGUAAAGGGCGUGUAGGCGGUCCGCUAAGUCUGAUGUGAAAGCCCGAGGCUUACCCUCGGAAGUGCAUUGGAGACUGGCGGACUGGAGUCCCUGAGAGGAGGGUGGAAUUCCUGGUGUAGCGGUGAAAUGCGUAGAUAUCAGGAGGAACACCGGUGGCGAAGGCGGCCCUCUGGACGGUGACUGACGCUGAGACGCGAAAGCGUGGGGAGCAAACAGG
rnacentral:rRNA from 1 species